rnacentral:lncRNA from 10 species
CCAAGAUCGUGCCACUGCACUCCAGCCUGGGCAACAAGAGUGACAGACUAUCUCAAAAGUAAAAAAAUUAAAAAGUCAUACAGACAUUGGAAAGAUUAUGCUUAUAAUCAUCUGCUUAUGAUUUGAAAAUGCUUUUUAUUAAGGUAUUUUCCAAUUAAAUACAAAACUUUUUGAAGAAAAAAUUCUUUGGGCCAGGCAUGAUGGCUCACACCUGUAAUUAUAGUACUUUGUCAAGGCAGGAGGAUCACUUGAGCUCACUAGUUUGAGACCAGCCUGGGCAACAUGGCAAAACCCUAUCUCUACAAAAAAUACAAAAAUAAGCUGGGUGUGGUCACACACCCCUGUAGUCCAGCUACUAGGGAGGCUGAGGUGGGAGGAUGGCUUAAGCCCACGAGGUGGAGGUUGCAGUGAGCCCAGAUUGUGCCACUGCACUACAGCCUGGGUGAUAGAGCCAGAACUUGAUUUAAAAAAAAAAAAAAUUCUUCAUCCUAGAACAUUAGCUCUUUAAUCUGUUAAAAUAGCUAUAUCUCCAUCAAUUGUGAGAUGUAAUUAACAUGAGGUAUGUUUUAACUUACUGGUACUAGGUUAAACUAUAGGAAAUUGCUGUUGUUUUGUAGUUGGAAACAAUCAAAUAUUAGCAAUUUUACACAGCUCAACAAAGUAUCAAAGUAUCAAAGAGUGAAUAAUUUACUUAAAAAAUAUAAACUAGCACAGAUUUAUUUUACUGCCAUAAUAAAAUGACUAAUACAGCUGACUUCCAAUAAUCUUUCUCAAGUGGGAAUUAUUUUUCUUGAUAAAAUACUUUGUUGUAGACUAAAAAUAGGCCCCAAAGAUUUCCAUGCCCUAAUCCCUAGUAUUAAUGCCUGUGUAUGUUAAAUGACCUAGCAAAAGAGACUUUGCAGAUGGAAUUAAUGUUUUUUGGUUUUUUGGGGUUUUUUUUGAGACGGAGUCUCACUCUGUCACCCAGGCUGGAGUGCAGUGGUGCAAUCUCAGCUCACUGCAACCUCCGCCUCCCAGGUUCAAGCAAUUCUCCUGCCUCAGCCUCCUGAGUAGCUGGGAUUACAGGUGUGCACCACCACACCUGGCUAAUUUUUGUAUUUUUAGUAGAGAUGGGGUUUCACCAUGUUGGCCAGGCUGGUCUCAAUCUCCUGACCUUGUGAUCUGCCCACCUCGGCCUCCCAAAGUGGUGGGAUUACAGGUGUGAGCCACUGCACCUGGCCAGAAUUAAUGUUAUACACCUUUGGCUGGGUGCAGUGGUUCAUGCCUGUAAUCCCAGCACAUCCAGAGGCUAAGACAGGAGGAUCACUAGAGCCCAGGAGUACAAGACCAGCCUGGGCAACAUAAUGAGACCCCAUCUCUUCAAAAAAAAUUAAAAAAAACACAGCCAGGCAUGUUGGUGCGUGCCUGUAGUCUCACCUACUCAGGAGGCUGAGGUGGGAGGAUUGCUUGAGCCUGGGAGUUCAAGGCUGCAGUAAGCUGUGGUCACACCACUGCACUCCAGCCUGGGUGACAGAGCGAGACCUUGUCUCAAAAGAAAAAAAAAAAAGUUGGCCGGGCACAGUGGCUCACGGUUGUAAUCCCAGCACUUUGGAAGGCUGAGGCGGGUGGAUCAUGAGGUCAGGAGAUCGAGGCCAUCCUGGCUAACACAGUGAAACCCUGUCUCUACUAAAAAUAUAAAAAAUUAGCCGGGCGUGGUGGCAGGCGCCUGUAGUCCCAGCUACCCAGGAGGCUGAGGCAGGAGAAUGGCGUGAACCCGGGAGGCAGAGCUUGCAGUGAGCCAAGAUUGAGCCACUGCACUCCAGCCUGGGCAACAGAGCGAGACUCUGUCUCAAAAAAAAAAAAAAAAAGUUAUCAACCUUAAAAUAGGCAGAUUAUCAGGCCAGGCGCGGUGGCUCACGCCUGUAAUCCCAGCACUUUGAGAGGCAGAAGCGGGUGGAUCAUGAGGUCAGGAGGUCGAGACCAUCCUGGCUAACACGGUGAAACCCCGUCUCUACUAAAAAUAAAAAAAAAAUUAGCCAGGCAUGGUGGUGGUCACCUGUAGUCCCAGCCACUCGGGAGGCUGAGGCAGGAGAAUGGCGUGAACUCGGGAGGCGGAGCUUGCAGUGAGCAGAGAUCUUGCCACUGCACUCCAGCCUGGGCAACAGCGUGAGACUGUCUCAAAAAAAAAAAGGGAGAUUAUCCAAGUGGGCCCAGAGUAAUCAAAUAGACAUUUAACAGUGGAAAUGGAAGACAGAAGGGUAGGUCAGAGAGAGGGAUGAUAGAAGUAACAGGAAUGAUUCAAAAUGGGAGAGGGACUUCACCCACUAUUGCAGGCUCUGAAGAAAAGGGGAUCAUGAGCCAAGGAAUGAAGGCAGCCUUCAGAAGCUAGAAAUGACCCUCAGCUAACAGACAACAAGGAAAGGAGACUUUGAUCCUUUAACUGCAAAGAACUGAAUUCUGCCAACAACUAAAUAAACAAGGAAAUGGAUUUGCCCCCUACCCCAAAACCUCCAUAAAGGAAUGCAUUCCUGCCAGCACCUUGAAUUUAGCCCAGGUAAGACCCGCGUCACACUUCUCACCUACAAAACUAUAAGAGAGUACAUUUGUGUUAAGUCACUGAGUUUGUAGUAAUUUGUAACAGCCUCAAAGGAAAACUUUAUAUACUUACCUUAAUACAACCUUGAAUUUAAAGGACUCAGAAGGGUCCCUAAAGUCAUUUAAAAAUAUUUCAUUUUACUUUUUUUUUUUUUGAGACAGAGUCUUGCUCUGUCGCCCAGGCUGGAUUGCAGUGGCGCAGCUCACUGCAAGCUCCGCCUGCCGGGUUCACGCCAUUCUCCUGCCUCAGCCUCCCAAGUAGCUGGGACUACGGGCGCCCCCACCACGCCUGGCUAAUUUUGUGUAUUUUUAGUAGAGACGGGUUUUCACCGUGUUAGCCAGGAUAGUCUUGAUCUCCUGACUUCAUGAUCCACCCACCUCAGCCUCCCAAAGUGCUGGUAUUACAGGCGUAAGCCACCGCGCCCGGCCUCAUUUUACUUAUUUUUUGAGACGGUCUCACUGUGUCACCCAGGCGAGAGUACAGAGGUGCAAACACAGCUCACUGCACCCUCGAGUUCCCAGUCCCAGGCCAUCCUCCCACGUCAGCUGCCCAGUAGCUGGUACCAUAGGCACACGACACUAUGUCCAGCUAAUUCUAAAAAACUUUUUGUAGAGACAGGGCCUCCCUAUGUUACGCAGACUGGUCUCAAACUCCUAGGCUGCUCAAGUGAUCCUCCCACCUCAGCUUCCCAAAGUGCUGAGAUUACAGGUGUGAGCCACUGCACCCAGCCUAAACUGUAUUUUAAAAAUCCAACUCAUGUCUGGUCCCAAAUGAUUCUGGUACAAUAAGUUGUGUUAUGACUGGAUAUGUGUGUAUAGCCAAUAAAAUGCAAUAAAAUAUUAAAAGACUGAAAGCUACACAGCAAUUAUUUUUAUGUAACAACUCUAAAAAGUUCUUGACAAGUUAUUAU